CUCCUCUGACAUUUGCACAAUGCCUUUACCUGGGAAUGUGCCUGCAGCAAACUGGCUGCCACUUGCAGAGGAGCAUCAAGCACUGCCUUCCACUCACACCAAGAGCAGACAAGGUGCAGCAUGAAGGAACCUCAAAUCAUCACAAAUACAACCUGGCUUCUGAAAGAGACUUCAGCAACUGUCAGGAUUCCCAACACCCUGAGAACUGUGUGUCACAUCCAGCAGAAGGGAAGGAGGACAGGAGCAAAGGGGAGGCACAAGCAGGAGGAACUUCUGGCAAACUGGCCCUUGGCUCUGGGAGCUUCGUGGUGAAACCAGCCCAGCUCCUUCCACCGGGCUGUGCCAAGGGUGGCAGCUCUGGGAAUGCUUGGGGAUGGGAGGAAAACCACCCACACCAGGUCCCACAGAAUGAACAGCCCUGGCAUCAAGUAAAGAAAAAGAGAGAGUUUUAAACCCCAGACUUGAGCCUUGCAGUUUCUCUGAUUGCUCAGAGGGUCAGAUUCCAAAGAUCCCACCCAGCUCCCACAAACCAGGUUCUCGUGUUCUGGAGCCCUGCAGGAUCAGAGCAUGGCUGUGAGUGCAGAACAGGGGCAGCCUCCUGCACCAGCAGCAUUCACAUUCAAACCCUGGCAGGCUCCAGCCUCCAAGCACAUC